rnacentral:rRNA from 1 species
AUCGAACGCUGGCGGCAGGCUUAACACAUGCAAGUCGAGCGAGCGGCGGACGGGUGAGUAAUGUCUGGGAAACUGCCUGAUGGAGGGGGAUAACUACUGGAAACGGUAGCUAAUACCGCAUACCAUCGGAUGUGCCCAGAUGGGAUUAGCUAGUAGGUGGGGUAAAGGCUCUCCUAGGCGACGAUCCCUAGCUGGUCGGAGAGGAUGACCAGCAACACUGGAACUGCGACACGGUCCAGACUCCAAGGGGAGGCAGCAGUGGGGAAGAUUGGACAAGGGGCGCAAGCCUGAUGCAGCCAGGCGGCGUGUAUGAAGAAGGCCUUCGGGUUGUAAAGUACGUUCAGCGGGGAGGCGUUACCCGCAGAAGAAGCACCGGCUAACUCCGUGCCAGCCGCCGCGGUAAUAC